ACGAACGCUUGCGGCGUGCUUAACACAUUCAAGUCGCACGGAAAGGCCCUGCUUUUUUGUUGUGCUCGUGUUGCGAACGUGUGAGUAACACGUUAGUAACCUGCCCUUGACUUUGGGUUAACUUCUUGAAACUUGGGCUAAUACCGGUUAGUAGCUCCUUCUGCAUUGUGGUGGUUUGAAUGUUUAGGCGGUUGGUGAUGGACUCGCGGCUUAUCAGCUUGUUGUUGGGGUAGUGGCUUACCAAGGCUUUGACGGGUAGCCGGCAUGAGAGGGUGACCGGGCAAAAUGGGACUGAGAUACGGACCAGAAGGGUACGGGAGGCAGCAGGGGGGAAUAUUGCAAAAUGGGAGGAAGCCUGAUGAAGAAACGCAGCGAGCGGGAUGACGGACUGCGGGUUGUAAACAGAUUUCGAAUGUGAAGAAGCGUGAGUGACGGUAAUGGGUAAAGAAGCACCGGCUAACUACGUG
rnacentral:rRNA from 1 species